ACGAACGCUGGCGGCAGGCCUAACACAUGCAAGUCGAACGCCCUAGCAAUAGGGAGUGGCAGACGGGUGAGUAACACGUGGGAACCUUCCCUAUAGUACGGAAUAGCCCAGGGAAACUUGGAGUAAUACCGUAUACGCCCGAAAGGGGAAAGAUUUAUCGCUAUAGGAUGGGCCCGCGUCGGAUUAGCUAGUUGGUGAGGUAAUGGCUCACCAAGGCAACGAUCCGUAGCUGGUUUGAGAGAAUGACCAGCCACACUGGGACUGAGACACGGCCCAGACUCCUACGGGAGGCAGCAGUGGGGAAUCUUGGACAAUGGGCGCAAGCCUGAUCCAGCCAUGCCGCGUGAGUGAUGAAGGCCUUAGGGUUGUAAAGCUCUUUUGUCGGGGACGAUAAUGACGGUACCCGAAGAAUAAGCUCCGGCUAACUUCGU
rnacentral:rRNA from 1 species